UCUCCAGACUCCUACGGGAGGCAGCAGUGAGGGAUAUUGGGCAAUGGGGGAAACCCUGACCCAGCGACGCCGCGUGAGGGAAGACGGUCUUCGGAUUGUAAACCUCUGUCUUUGGGGACGAAAAAGGACGGUACCCAAGGAGGAAGCUCCGGCUAACUACGUGCCAGCAGCCGCGGUAAUACGUAGGGAGCGAGCGUUGUCCGGAAUUACUGGGUGUAAAGGGAGCGUAGGCGGGAUUGCAAGUUGGAUGUGGAAACUGCGGGCUCAACCCGGAGCGUGCAUUCAAAACUGCGAUUCUUGAGUGAAGUAGAGGCAAGCGGAAUUCCUAGUGUAGCGGUGAAAUGCGUAGAUAUCAGGAGGAACACCGGUGGCGAAGGCGGCCCGCUGGACUGCAACUGACGUUGAGGCCCGAAAGCGUGGGGAGCAAACAGGAUUAGAUACCCCGGUACC
rnacentral:rRNA from 1 species